rnacentral:lncRNA from 1 species
AAAGCAUAUCAUACAGUUAUUAUAUAACACCACGCCUUUAGACAUUUCUAAAUAUACAAAACAUAAGGUACUGAAUUCUUUUACAUAGACUGAUAUGACUCAAAAAUACAAUGGUCAAUGAGAGGACAAAAAAGGCACAGGAUUUUCUUUUGUACAUCAAUGCCAACUAAAAAUAAUAAGAAUUGUAAUUAAAGAAAAGCGACCAAAAAAACUGUUAAGAGCAUUUGUCUUACACUCUGACUCAAUGUUUUGCUGGCACAUUUCCUCAUGAACAAAUUUGCUUUACUAACCCUCCUAUAAAACUUUCAGCUGGAUGUCGGUGCCACCGAACUACCCGCUCAAUUGUAGGCUCAACUCCAACCAGCUCCAUUCUAGGAAUAGAUGGAUUUGUAGUUUUCGACUCCUACUUCAAAAAAGUUUGUUGGGCCUCUACUUUGAGUGAGAACCAUACAGUCAUACUGCAAACACAUAAAAAGUAACGGUUGAAGUAAUGCAGAAUAAUAUUCUCAAGUUUAAUAUACACAGGAAAAUGAAAAUAUCAUUAUAACAAACAAGGAAAAAGGUUUAUAAGUUCUAUAUUGAUGCUCACAAUGUCUCUAUCCAGCUCAGAAAGUCAUUUUACUUUUGAGAGCAUCAUCGAUUUAAUCUUUAUUUUCUCAAGUGGAUAACAAUUCAUCAUUGUCACCAACUACACAAUAGGAAAUGUGAAUAAAAAGACUGCAGUAAGAAUUAAGGGAGAAGUCCAGGGAAGUUUAACCCCCACUCUCAAAUGAGGGAUCCAUGUGCUUACUUUGCUUUCCAUGUAGCUUCAAGAUAAUGUAUUACCUGUUGUAGAUUUUUACUCGUUCUCACUGCCAUUCUACUGGAAAUUCCACAAGGAAAAUACAUGCCUUCUUCUUUCAUAGUAGUGAACGCUGAACCUGGACCAUCAAAGAGAAGAUAAUUUCUCAUCAAAUUGCCCAGCACUGUAAUGAGAAGAGAAGCAUCCAUAAAGUAAUAGACAAACCGAAUCUGAAUGUACCUCAUCAAAUGAAGGUGGCAGAAGUGUGGUGACCUAGCAUAGAUGUUUCACAGCCUCAAGGCUUGCAGAAUCAGAGAAGUCAGAAGCCUGCUAUGUAUAAUAUGUAGGCAUGUAUUCUUACUUCAUGAGUCUCUUAUCUACUUUCCAGUAGGCAAAUUUUUGUAAGCAGACUUAUCUUACUUGAGAAUCCUCGCUUCUUUCCAGAUUUCUUGAGAAAAGUUUAUGGUCAUUGGUCAUCAUAACAUCUACAUUUUAGCGCUGGGUAAUGAAAACAGAACAUGGUAAAUUUACCUGAAUAUGUCCCACAAAUAUUUGUACGAUGGAUGUUAGUUUAACUCGAACCAAUUGCACUAAUAAAAUAGAACACUUAGAAAGAAGGUAAAAUCAGCCUCAGCAACAACGACUUUCACUAAGUAGAAGGACAUUCCCUUCCCCAGCAGCCCCACACCAAGACCUCGAAGCGAGCUUCUGCUAAAAAUCAUAAAAUGAAAUGUGGCUUUACAGAAGAUAAUGAUUUUCCAUCAAUGUUAGAAUAUCAGAAAUUAUCCAGUUCAAAGAACGGAAAGGUAAAGAAGGUGGACCUGUGGGAAAGAUCAAGCCUUCCUCGGCAGUGCAAAAAUAGUCGCAGUACACGCUCCCGCAGUGCACUGCCUAACACAAAGUUCUUUAUUGCUUUCUCGGAUAUAGAGAAUAACUAAAUAUUUCAUAUUUUUAUAUUAGGUUUUUUAAACAUUUUUUCCACUCUCUAAGUCUCCACUAAUUAGACUGAAAUAGAGUCUAGUAAAUUAAUAGCCGAUUGAUAUUUUUUGAGGUUUGGCGACCAUCUCUUUUUCUGUUCAGCUAGUACUAUAACAAAAUUCUGUAGAUACCUUGGCAACAGUAGCGGAAUCCUUAACACAAACCAGUAACCCAAGUACAUGGUAGCUAAGAAUAUAUAGGCGCUAACUUGGAGCAAGAGAACUCCUUUAGGUAUUACCAUUAUUAUUGUCAAGCACAUCUACCAGAAUCUUUUUUUUAAGGGAGAAACAUGACAGUAGCCAAUUUAUUUAGUUCUCAUCAGUAAAUAAAAACAGGUACUAAAAUAGUUAUCCAGGAAGGGUAGCUUCCUAGUUGUAAUCAUACCUAAUUGUAGAACUUCGGGUACGAUUUAGUGUGAAGGACGCACCUUCUGACCUCCUGACCUCCAGCCAGAACAAUCAAAUUGAUCAACAUAUUGGAUUGGCCUGCUUGGGACGUAGCUAGUAAGUCUAGCUAUCUUGAUUGGGACGUAGCUAGUAAGCCUCAUGAAAUCAAUCCAGUGGCCUGCUUGGACGUAGCUAGUAAAUCAAUCUAGCUGAAAACGUCCCAAGCACCAGGAGGAAU